AAGCCGCUUGAUGAUUUUUGGAUAAUAUUCUCACGACGGUCGUCUGAGGUACAUUUAUGUGCCUAACUGAUGAUAGAUCCAAUUUUUCUGAUGGUU
rnacentral:snoRNA from 15 species